rnacentral:rRNA from 1 species
AUGCUUGCUGCGAGGGACACAAUUGCAACAACCCUAACAUGGAUCUUCUGCGACCUCGCCCAAAAUCCUGACAUCGUGUCAAUCAUCCGCAACGAACUUUCACCCAUUGCAUCACGCAAAGUAGCAUUAGGGGCAUCUACCCCAGUGAUCUUUGAGCCAGACGAGACCAAAUCUCUAGUAUAUUUGACAGCCACUUUGUAUGAGACUCUUAGACUGUACCCACCGGCGCCUGUCUUGCUCAAGAAGGUGGCCGUAGAUGACAUCAUGCCGAGUGGCCAUGAGGUGCAUGCCGGUGACACCAUUUUUGUUUCCGUCCACUCCAUGGGGAGAAUGGAGGGUGUGUGGGGUAAAGACUGCUUCGACUAUAACCCACGUAGGUGGCUCUCAGAUGAUGACAACAACCUGAGGUACAUACCAUCUCACAAGUUCUUGGCCUUCAAUGCUGGCCCGAGGAUGUGCCUCGGCAAGGACAUUGCACUUAUGCAAAUGAAGACUGUCAUUGCUACAGCUGUGUGGAACUUCGAUGUGAAGGUGGUGGAAGGGCAAAGCAUCCAGCCUAAGCCGUCCAUUAUACUGGAGAUGAAAAAUGGGCUCAUUGUUAAGUUGAAGAAGCGAGAAAUGUAA